GACGAACGCUGGCGGCAGGCCUAAUACAUGCAAGUCGAACGCUCGUAGCAAUACGAGAGUGGCAGACGGGUGAGUAACACGUGGGAACCUUCCCUAUGGUUCGGAAUAGCUCAGGGAAACUUGAGGUAAUACCGGAUAAGCCCUUACGGGGAAAGAUUUAUCGCCAUUGGAUGGGGCCCCGCGUCGGAUUAGCGUAGUUGGGUGGGGUAACGGCCUACCAAGGCGACGAUCCGUAGCUGGUCUGAGAGGAUGAUCAGCCACACUGGGACUGAGA
rnacentral:rRNA from 1 species